AUUGAACGCUAGCGGCAUGCUUUACACAUGCAAGUCGAACGGUAACAGGUUAAGCUGACGAGUGGCGAACGGGUGAGUAAUGCAUCGGAACGUGCCCGGUCGUGGGGGAUAACGCAGCGAAAGCUGCGCUAAUACCGCAUACGAUCUGAGGAUGAAAGCGGGGGACCGUAAGGCCUCGCGCGAUCGGAGCGGCCGAUGUCAGUUUAGGUAGUUGGUGGGGUAAAGGCUCACCAAGCCAACGAUCUGUAGCUGAUGUUAGAGGACGACCAGCCACACUGGGACUGAGACACGGCCCAGACUCCUACGGGAGGCAGCAGUGGGGAAUUUUGGACAAUGGGCGAAAGCCUGAUCCAGCAAUGCCGCGUGCAGGAAGAAGGCCUUCGGGUUGUAAACUGCUUUUGUACGGAGCGAAAAGGUCUCCUCUAAUACAGGGGGCUCAUGACGGUACCGUAAGAAUAAGCACCGGCUAACUACGUGCCAGCAGCCGCGGUAA
rnacentral:rRNA from 1 species